AUUGAACGCUGGCGGAAUGCUUUACACAUGCAAGUCGAACGGCAGCACGGGGGCAACCCUGGUGGCGAGUGGCGAACGGGUGAGUAAUACAUCGGAACGUGCCCAGUCGUGGGGGAUAACGUAGCGAAAGCUACGCUAAUACCGCAUGAGAUCUGUGGAUGAAAGCGGGGGACCUUCGGGCCUCGCGCGAUUGGAGCGGCCGAUGGCAGAUUAGGUAGUUGGUGGGGUAAAGGCCCACCAAGCCGACGAUCUGUAGCUGGUCUGAGAGGACGACCAGCCACACUGGGACUGAGACACGGCCCAGACUCCUACGGGAGGCAGCAGUGGGGAAUUUUGGACAAUGGGCGCAAGCCUGAUCCAGCCAUUCCGCGUGCAGGAUGAAGGCCUUCGGGUUGUAAACUGCUUUUGUACGGAACGAAAAGGCCUUGGUUAAUACCUGGGGCUCAUGACGGUACCGUAAGAAUAAGCACCGGCUAACUACGUGCCAGCCGCCGCAGUAA
rnacentral:rRNA from 1 species